rnacentral:rRNA from 1 species
ACGAACGCUGGCGGCGUGCCUAAUACAUGCCAGUAGAACGCUGAAGAGAGGAGCUUGCUCUUCUUGGAUGAGUUGCGAACGGGUGAGUAACGCGUAGGUAACCUGCCUUGUGGCGGGGGAUAACUAUUGGAAACGAUAGCUAAUACCGCAUAACAAUGGAUGACACAUGUCAUUUAUUUGAAAGGGGCAAUUGCUCCACUACAAGAUGGACCUGCGUUGUAUUAGCUAGUAGGUGAGGUAAUGGCUCACCUAGGCGACGAUACAUAGCCGACCUGAGAGGGUGGUCGGCCACACUGGGACUGAGACACGGCCCAGACUCCUACGGGAGGCAGCAGUAGGGAAUCUUCGGCAAUGGGGGCAACCCUGACCGAGCAACGCCGCGUGAGUGAAGAAGGUUUUCGGAUCGUAAAGCUCUGUUGUAAGUCAAGAACGGGUGUGAGAGUGGAAAGUUCACACUGUGACGGUAGCUUACCAGAAAGGGACGGCUAACUACGUG